AGACAGUGCAUGAGAUGAGAAGUACCCGGAUAAUGGAUUCUGACGGACACUUUACUAUCACACACACAGAAGAGGAUUUAUGAAUGGAAGGGAAAAGAUGCAACUGACAAAGUCGGGUAUAGAGGUGGACUGGUUCCUCAUCCCACUGACCCACAGAUGAGAGCGAAAUCCUGGGAUCAGAGCUGGGCAGAGAGGAAGACAUGGUUUAUGCAUCAUCACCGCCACACAGCAGCAGCAGGGUUUUACGGUAGUCUCCUGAAGUGUCACUCUGCAGGAACACGAAGAGCAGAGACUGAGCAGAGUGAUCCAAAAAAUGGCAAAUUAGUGUUUAUGUAUUGUCUGUGUAUGAGGAUACCUGAAUCAUUUUGUGCAGGGAGGUUGCAAAACGCUUGCGGAAUUCAGCACGAAUGUCCAGCAAGUCCACCUCGCUGCGUGUCACCAUGAUCCUGAUCAGUGUCUGAUCGUCAGUGCCUGCCCCCUACAGGAUGAAGAUACAAUUACUGCAUGAAAUACCCAAAAGAUCAUUUUUGUAGCUUUUUAAAAUAACCACUUUAAGUAUGAGCUAAAAUGUGCUGUUUUUGUCUUUGUUGCUUUAAAUAUGAUAGUGAUAUUAAGAAAUAAUAAAUUCAAGUUAUUAAAUAUAACAUUUAAAGUAUAUUUUCUUUGAAAUGGUUUUCAAAAAUACCCCCCUCACAGACCUCUCUUUUAAAUAAACAUUUUGUAGUAUGCUAGAAAAUGUAUACUUUACAAAACAAUAUACACAAUUUUACAAA
ensembl:processed_transcript